rnacentral:rRNA from 1 species
AUGCUUGUCUCAAAGAUUAAGCCAUGCAUGUCUAAGUAUAAGCAACUAUACUGUGAAACUGCGAAUGGCUCAUUAAAUCAGUUAUCGUUUAUUUGAUAGUACCUUUACCUGGAUAACCGUGGUAAUUCUAGAGCUAAUACAUGCUAAAAACCUCGACUUCGGAAGGGGUGUAUUUAUUAGAUAAAAAACCAAUGCCCUUCGGGGCUCCUUGGUGAAUCAUAAUAACUUAACGAAUCGCAUGGCCUUGCGCCGGCGAUGGUUCAUUCAAAUUUCUGCCCUAUCAACUUUCGAUGGUAAGAUAGAGGCUUACCAUGGUCUUAACGGGUAACGGGGAAUUAGGGUUCUAUUCCGGAGAGGGAGCCUGAGAAACGGCUACCACAUCCAAGGAAGGCAGCAGGCGCGCAAAUUACCCAAUCCCGACACGGGGAGGUAGUGACAAUAAAUACUGAUACGGGGCUCUUUUGGGUCUCGUAAUUGGAAUGAGUACAAUCUAAAUCCCUUAACGAGGAACAAUUGGAGGGCAAGUCUGGUGCCAGCAGCCGCGGUAAUUCCAGCUCCAAUAGCGUAUAUUAAAGUUGUUGCCGUUAAAAAGCUCGUAGUUGAACCUUGGGCCUGGCUGACCUGUCCUCCUAAUCGAGCGCACGGGUUCGGUCGGGCCUUUCCUUCUAGGGAACCCCAUGCCCUUCACUGGGUGUGGUGGGGAACUAGGAC